rnacentral:rRNA from 1 species
AUUGAACGCUGGCGGCAUGCCUUACACAUGCAAGUCGAACGGUAACAGGUCUUCGGAUGCUGACGAGUGGCGAACGGGUGAGUAAUACAUCGGAACGUACCCGAUCGUGGGGGAUAACGAAGCGAAAGCUUUGCUAAUACCGCAUAAGAUCUACGGAUGAAAGCAGGGGACCGCAAGGCCUUGCGCGAACGGAGCGGCCGAUGGCAGAUUAGGUAGUUGGUGGGAUAAAAGCUUACCAAGCCGACGAUCUGUAGCUGGUCUGAGAGGACGACCAGCCACACUGGGAAUGCGACACGGCCCAGACUCCUACGGGAGGCAGCAGUGGGGAAUUUUGGACAAUGGGCGAAAGCCUGAUCCAGCCAUGCCGCGUGCAGGAUGAAGGCCUUCGGGUUGUAAACUGCUUUUGUACGGAACGAAAAGACUCUUUCUAAUAAAGAGGGUCCAUGACGGUACCGUAAGAAUAAGCACCGGCUAACUACGUGCCAGCAGCCGCGGUAA